ensembl:snoRNA
CGCCCCUUUUUAGCUUUGCCCUCUUAAGUCUGGCAGUGUCUUAAGUGGCCAACACAGAGGGGUAUAAAAGUUCUCUCUCAAACCCAGAGGUGAGGUUGAAACUCUUCUUUGGAUCAUGUCGAGAGGAACACGU